GCCGCGGUAGCUCAAUUGGCCAGAGCGUGGGACUUUUACCGUCUAAGAAAUCCCAAGGUUGCGGGUAUGUAUAUAGCUCCAGUCCUUCCUUUCAUACCCUGAUUACUGAUGCUGUCACGUGAUAGGUUCGACCCCCGCCUGUGGCG